AGCAUUUAUAUCUUAAUCUCUAUAGAUACACUUGUUUGACCUGCAGAAAAAAAGCCAUGUUCAUAACAACACACGUGCUCCAGAAAGCUCCUGUCUGCACCAGUUUGUAUGGGAGUUGCACAACUUAUUUCCAGCAAGAUUCUAUCCUUUUUCUGAAAAAGUGAAGCCACUCUAAAAUGUCACUUCACACCACCUGUACUCUCUGGAUUCACAUUAAUUCCCAACUGAUGAUAAAAAUGUGCCUAGAAAUACAUUCAGGAAACACCAUCAAAGUAAAAAAAGCAUCUGUUUAUUUGAAGGGACCAUAUGGAGCUGGACAAGAAUAGCUGAGAUGAGACUAACAGUUUUAGACACGAGCUUUCUUCAACCAAUCAUCAAAUUGGUUAAUGGCUUUUCCCCCCCACCAUAAUCAAGAUAAAGCAGCUGCAGUGAAACACUGCAGUGGAUAACUCCAGGAAAGACUUCCCAUGUGCAUCUUGGAAUCUUCGUGAUGUGUUUUAUUGGAGUGAUGGCAGAUAAGAAGAGCAUCAGAAAAAUCCCCAGGCUUUCCUGAGGAAGUGUUAAAUCAGCCACAGGAUCAAGCUAAAAGGCAAUGUCCUUCAUCACCUGAUACCUGCAAAGC